rnacentral:rRNA from 1 species
GCUGAUGCGUUGUUGGGUAGGGGAGCGUUCUGUAAGCCUGUGAAGGUGUGUCGUGAGGCAUGCUGGAGGUAUCAGAAGUGCGAAUGCUGACAUAAGUAACGAUAAAGCGGGUGAAAAGCCCGCUCGCCGGAAGACCAAGGGUUCCUGUCCAACGUUAAUCGGGGCAGGGUGAGUCGACCCCUAAGGCGAGGCCGAAAGGCGUAGUCGAUGGGAAACGGGUUAAUAUUCCCGUACUUGGUGUUACUGCGAAGGGGGGACGGAGAAGGCUAUGUUGGCCGGGCGACGGUUGUCCCGGUUUAAGCGUGUAGGUGUGUGUUCCAGGUAAAUCCGGUUCACUUUAACACUGAGGCGUGACGACGAGGCACUACGGUGCUGAAGCAACAAAUGCCCUGCUUCCAGGAAAAGCCUCUAAGCAUCAGGUAACAUCAAAUCGUACCCCAAACCGACACAGGUGGUCAGGUAGAGAAUACCAAGGCGCUUGAGAGAACUCGGGUGAAGGAACUAGGCAAAAUGGUGCCGUAACUUCGGGAGAAGGCACGCUGACACGUAGGUGAAGUGAUUUACUCACGGAGCUGAAGUCAGUCGAAGAUACCAGCUGGCUGCAACUGUUUAUUAAAAACACAGCACUGUGCAAACACGAAAGUGGACGUAUACGGUGUGACGCCUGCCCGGUGCCGGAAGGUUAAUUGAUGGGGUCAGCGCAAGCGAAGCUCCUGAUCGAAGCCCCGGUAAACGGCGGCCGUAACUAUAACGGUCCUAAGGUAGCGAAAUUCCUUGUCGGGUAAGUUCCGACCUGCACGAAUGGCGUAAUGAUGGCCAGGCUGUCUCCACCCGAGACUCAGUGAAAUUGAACUCGCUGUGAAGAUGCAGUGUACCCGCGGCAAGACGGAAAGACCCCGUGAACCUUUACUAUAGCUUGACACUGAACAUUGAGCCUUGAUGUGUAGGAUAGGUGGGAGGCUUUGAAGUGUGGACGCCAGUCUGCAUGGAGCCGACCUUGAAAUACCACCCUUUAAUGUUUGAUGUUCUAACGUGGACCCGUUACCCGGGUUGCGGACAGUGUCUGGUGGGUAGUUUGACUGGGGCGGUCUCCUCCUAAAGAGUAACGGAGGAGCACGAAGGUUGGCUAAUCCUGGUCGGACAUCAGGAGGUUAGUGCAAUGGCAUAAGCCAGCUUGACUGCGAGCGUGACGGCGCGAGCAGGUGCGAAAGCAGGUCAUAGUGAUCCGGUGGUUCUGAAUGGAAGGGCCAUCGCUCAACGGAUAAAAGGUACUCCGGGGAUAACAGGCUGAUACCGCCCAAGAGUUCAUAUCGACGGCGGUGUUUGGCACCUCGAUGUCGGCUCAUCACAUCCUGGGGCUGAAGUAGGUCCCAAGGGUAUGGCUGUUCGCCAUUUAAAGUGGUACGCGAGCUGGGUUUAGAACGUCGUGAGACAGUUCGGUCCCUAUCUGCCGUGGGCGCUGGAGAACUGAGGGGGGCUGCUCCUAGUACGAGAGGACCGGAGUGGACGCAUCACUGGUGUUCGGGUUGUCAUGCCAAUGGCACUGCCCGGUAGCUAAAUGCGGAAGAGAUAAGUGCUGAAAGCAUCUAAGCACGAAACUUGCCCCGA